rnacentral:rRNA from 1 species
ACUCCUACGGGAGGCAGCAGUAGGGAAUCUUCCACAAUGGGCGCAAGCCUGAUGGAGCAACACCGCGUGAGUGAAGAAGGGUUUCGGCUCGUAAAGCUCUGUUGUUAAAGAAGAACACGUAUGAGAGUAACUGUUCAUACGUUGACGGUAUUUAACCAGAAAGUCACGGCUAACUACGUGCCAGCAGCCGCGGUAAUACGUAGGUGGCAAGCGUUAUCCGGAUUUAUUGGGCGUAAAGAGAGUGCAGGCGGUUUUCUAAGUCUGAUGUGAAAGCCUUCGGCUUAACCGGAGAAGUGCAUCGGAAACUGGAUAACUUGAGUGCAGAAGAGGGUAGUGGAACUCCAUGUGUAGCGGUGGAAUGCGUAGAUAUAUGGAAGAACACCAGUGGCGAAGGCGGCUACCUGGUCUGCAACUGACGCUGAGACUCGAAAGCAUGGGUAGCGAACAGGAUUAGAUACCCUGGUAGGAAAGA